GCUGGUUUAGCUCAGUUGGUAGAGCACCUGUUUUGUAAACAGGGGGUCGUGAGUUCGAGACUUACAACCAGCACCA
rnacentral:tRNA from 1 species